UGCUUUCAACGCGACCCCAGGUC
rnacentral:rRNA from 2 species